rnacentral:rRNA from 1 species
UGUGCAUGGCUAGGGGGGGAGGGUGCUUCGGUAACUGACCUAGCGGCGGACGGGUGAGUAAUGCUUAGGAAUCUGCCUAUUAGUGGGGGACAACAUUCCGAAAGGGAUGCUAAUACCGCAUACGCCCUACGGGGGAAAGCAGGGGAUCUUCGGACCUUGCGCUAAUAGAUGAGCCUAAGUCGGAUUAGCUAGUUGGUGGGGUAAAGGCCUACCAAGGCGACGAUCUGUAGCGGGUCUGAGAGGAUGAUCCGCCACACUGGGACUGAGACACGGCCCAGACUCCUACGGGAGGCAGCAGUGGGGAAUAUUGGACAAUGGGCGGAAGCCUGAUCCAGCCAUGCCGCGUGUGUGAAGAAGGCCUUUUGGUUGUAAAGCACUUUAAGCGAGGAGGAGGCUCUUAAGGUUAAUACCCUUGAUGAGUGGACGUUACUCGCAGAAUAAGCACCGGCUAACUCUGUGCCAGCAGCCGCGGUAAUACAGAGGGUGCGAGCGUUAAUCGGAUUUACUGGGCGUAAAGCGUGCGUAGGCGGCUGAUUAAGUCGGAUGUGAAAUCCCUGAGCUUAACUUAGGAAUUGCAUUCGAUACUGGUCAGCUAGAGUAUGGGAGAGGAUGGUAGAAUUCCAGGUGUAGCGGUGAAAUGCGUAGAGAUCUGGAGGAAUACCGAUGGCGAAGGCAGCCAUCUGGCCUAAUACUGACGCUGAGGUACGAAAGCAUGGGGAGCAAACAGGAUUAGAUACCCUGGUAGUCCAUGCCGUAAACGAUGUCUACUAGCCGUUGGGGCCUUUGAGGCUUUAGUGGCGCAGCUAACG